rnacentral:rRNA from 1 species
UACACGACCGUACCGCAAACCGACACUGGUGCGCGAGAUGAGUAUUCUCAGGCGCUUGAGAGAACUCGGGAGAAGGAACUCGGCAAAUUGACACCGUAACUUCGGAAGAAGGUGUGCCUUUAGUAGGUGAAGUCCCUCGCGGAUGGAGCCCAAUGAGGUUGCAAAGAAUCGGGCUGCGACUGUUUAAUAAAAACACAGCACUCUGCAAACACGAAAGUGGACGUAUAGGGUGUGACGCCUGCCCGGUGCUGGAAGAUUAAGUGAUGGGGUGCAAGCUCUUGAUCGAAGUCCCAGUAAACGGCGGCCGUAACAAUAACGGUCCUAAGGUAGCGAAAUUCCUUGUCGGGUAAGUUCCGACCUGCACGAAUGGCGUAACGAUGGCCACACUGUCUCCUCCCGAGACUCAGCGAAGUUGAAAUGUUUGUGAUGAUGCAAUCUCCCCGCGGAAAGACGGAAAGACCCCAUGAACCUUUACUGUAGCUUUGUAUUGGACUUUGAACGGAUCUGUGUAGGAUAGGUGGGAGGCUUUGAAGCCGGGUCGCUAGAUCUGGUGGAGCCAACGUUGAAAUACCACCCUGGUGCGUUUGAGGUUUUAACCUAGGCCCGUAAUCCGGGCCGGGGACAGUGCAUGGUAGGCAGUUUGACUGGGGCGGUCUCCUCCCAAAGCGUAACGGAGGAGUUCGAAGGUACGCUAGUUACGGUCGGACAUCGUGACGAUAGUGCAAUGGCAUAAGCGUGCUUAACUGCGAGACUGACAAGUCGAGCAGAUGCGAAAGCAGGACAUAGUGAUCCGGUGGUUCUGUAUGGAAGGGCCAUCGCUCAACGGAUAAAAGGUACCCUGGGGAUAACAGGCUGAUACCGCCCAAGAGUUCAUAUCGACGGCGGUGUUUGGCACCUCGAUGUCGGCUCAUCUCAUCCUGGGGCUGUAGCCGGUCCCAAGGGUAUGGCUGUUCGCCAUUUAAAGAGGUACGUGAGCUGGGUUUAAAACGUCGUGAGACAGUUUGGUCCCUAUCUUCCGUGGGCGCUGCAGAUUUGAGGAAGCCUGCUCCUAGUACGAGAGGACCGGAGUGGACGCACCUCUGGUGUACCUGUUGUCACGCCAGUGGCAUUGCAGGGUAGCUAAGUGCGGAAGAGAUAACCGCUGAAAGCAUCUAAGCGGGAAACUCGUUUCAAGAUGAGAUCUGCCGGGGCCUUGAGCCCCCUGAAGAGUCC